UCUCCUGUACUGAUUGCACACUAAGGAUGCCA
rnacentral:piRNA from 1 species